UACGGGGGGUGCGAGCGUUGUCCGGAAUCACUGGGCGUAAAGGGCGCGUAGGUGGUCUGAUAAGGGUGUGGUGAAAGUCCGGGGCUCAACCCCGGAUCUGCCGUGCCGACUGUCAGACUCGAGGACUGUAGAGGCAGGCGGAAUUCCGGGUGUAGCGGUGGAAUGCGUAGAGAUCCGGAGGAAGACCGGUGGCGAAGGCGGCCUGCUGGGCAGUUUCUGACACUGAGGCGCGACAGCGUGGGGAGCGAACAGG
rnacentral:rRNA from 1 species